UGCUCUGUAGCCUAGUGGCAAGGUUACAGUCUUGGGAACACGGGGUCCUCCCGUUCAAGCCCAGCUGGGGAA
rnacentral:tRNA from 1 species